rnacentral:rRNA from 1 species
AUUGAACGCUGGCGGCAUGCUUUACACAUGCAAGUCGAACGGCAGCGCGGGCUUCGGCCUGGCGGCGAGUGGCGAACGGGUGAGUAAUACAUCGGAACGUGCCCAGUAGUGGGGGAUAGCUCGGCGAAAGCCGGAUUAAUACCGCAUACGACCUGAGGGUGAAAGCGGGGGAUCUUCGGACCUCGCGCUAUUGGAGCGGCCGAUGGCAGAUUAGCUAGUUGGUGGGGUAAAGGCCUACCAAGGCGACGAUCUGUAGCUGGUCUGAGAGGACGACCAGCCACACUGGGACUGAGACACGGCCCAGACUCCUACGGGAGGCAGCAGUGGGGAAUUUUGGACAAUGGGCGAAAGCCUGAUCCAGCAAUGCCGCGUGUGUGAUGAAGGCCUUCGGGUUGUAAAGCACUUUUGGCGGGAACGAAAAGGACCGUGCCAAUACCACGGUUCGACGACGGUACCCGCAGAAUAAGCACCGGCUAACUACGUG